rnacentral:snoRNA from 1 species
UGGCCAAAGAUGAAAUUAGUAAACUGAAAGAACUAUUUCUGUAGAAUAGUAUGCACCAUAUAUGAUGGCUUAAAGGAUUUUCUGAGGCCA